UACGUAGGGUGCAAGCGCUGUCCGGAAUUAUUGGGCGUAAAGAGCUUGUAGGUGGUUUGUCGCGUCUGCUGUGAAAAUCCGAGGCUCAACCUCGGACUUGCAGUGGGUACGGGCAGACUAGAGUGUGGUAGGGGAGACUGGAAUUCCUGGUGUAGCGGUGGAAUGCGCAGAUAUCCGGAGGAACCCCGGUGGCGAAGGCAGGUCUUUGGGCCAUUACUGACACUGAGAAGCGAAAGCAUGGGGAGCGAACAGG
rnacentral:rRNA from 1 species